CCUGUAUCAAGAAACCAUCCUGAGUGAGGUAACCCAGUCACAAAAAGACGAAUAUGGAGGGUGAAAUUAUAUGCCUAUGUGAUGAGAAGAAGUGACAGAGACAUUGUGAUAAGGCAUGUGAUGUCUGAUAGGACCACUCAAAGUGACCACUCAAACACAUAACAGCAAAUAAAUGACUAAAGAGGAAGUAGCAGACACAACAUGGAAACCCUGGACAGAGGAAUAAACCCAUAUUCCCAGAUGAGAAUGGACAAAACACUGUUUCAUGAAGCUAGCCACAAAGGUGCAACAUGUGAAAACUCCUGAGUUACCAAUUUCCUCGGUUAUCAGGUUCAUAUGUUUAGACUGCCCUUGGCUACAAGUAAAUAAACGUACACACAAUGUAAGCGCAGUUGAGGGCACACUAACAUAACUAUGUUUUUAAGCCUGAAUGACAGCUACCUCAACAAGUUUUCAUCAUGAGCAA